rnacentral:rRNA from 1 species
GAUGAACGCUGGCGGCGUGCCUAAUACAUGCAAGUCGAGCGAACGGACGAGAAGCUUGCUUUUCUGAUGUUAGCGGCGGACGGGUGAGUAACACGUGGAUAACCUACCUAUAAGACUGGGAUAACUUCGGGAAACCGGAGCUAAUACCGGAUAAUAUUUUGAACCGCAUGGUUCAAAAGUGAAAGACGGCCUUGCUGUCACUAAUAGAUGGAUCCGCGCUGCAUUAGCUAGUUGGUAAGGUAACGGCUUACCAAGGCAACGAUGCAUAGCCGACCUGAGAGGGUGAUCGCCCACACUAGAACGGGGACACGGUCCAGGCUCCUACGGGAGGCAGCAGAAGGGAACCUUCCGCAGUGGGCGAAAGCCUGACGGAGCAACGCCGCGUGAGUGAUGAAGGUCUUCGGAUCGUAAAACUCUGUUAUUAGGGAAGAACAUAUGUGUAAGUAACUGUGCACAUCUUGACGGUACCUAAUCAGAAAGCCACGGCUAACUACGUG